CAGUCGCCGCGGGAAUACAGAGGGUGCAAGCGUUAAUCGGAAUUACUGGGCGUAAAGCGCGCGUAGGUGGUUUGUUAAGUUGGAUGUGAAAUCCCCGGGCUCAACCUGGGAACUGCAUCCAAAACUGGCAAGCUAGAGUAUGGUAGAGGGUGGUGGAAUUUCCUGUGUAGCGGUGAAAUGCGUAGAUAUAGGAAGGAACACCAGUGGCGAAGGCGACCACCUGGACUGAUACUGACACUGAGGUGCGAAAGCGUGGGGAGCAAACAGGAUUAGAUACCCGAGUAGUCCCUGUCUCUUAUAC
rnacentral:rRNA from 1 species